GUGAUGUGUUACAUCAGAGCGGGAGCCGGCUCGCCGCUGCAGGGAUGGACGUCUCAGAAUCUGAAUUUUCAAAGUAAAAUUCAAGAGACAAGUAUAAAGACUACACUUGGUGAUGCCACCCUUCUUCUACCACACACGCAAGAUGACAGACUUGGUAAAUUGUCACAAGCACGGCAGAAAUCAACAAGGAAUAACCAUAAACUAAACCCGAAUCUAUAAAAUCAUAACAUAAAAGUUGUUAUGUACUGGACCAUCCUGAAGAUAUUUCCAGAUGCUAAACCUUGGAAGGAACAUAGCCUGCUCCCUUGCAGGCUCACACUGUUGCCCUCCGCCUGCCUGCCUGUCUGCCUCUCUCCCCCCCAUCCUUCCUCCCUCUCUCUGUACUAUACAUGUAUCUUCUAUAGCUACGUAGUCAGGUGUCACGUAACAACGUUUUGGUCAAUGACAGCAACAAACCAUAUAUCUGAUGGUGGUCCCAUUAAGAUUAUAAUGGAGUAGAAAAACCCCUAUCACCCAAUGAAGUAGCUGUCAUAAUGUCCGAGCACAAUGCAGUACUCGUGUUUGUGGUGACUGUGGUAUAAACAAACCUAUUGCAUUGCCAGUACAACACAUACAAUUCGGUAGAGUGUAUAAUACUUGAUAAGGAUAAUAAAUGACUGUGUUAUUGAUUUAUGUAUUUGCUUACCUUAUACUUUUUAUUAGAGCGUACUUAUAAAAACAUUGGCUGUAAAACAGUCUUA